rnacentral:rRNA from 1 species
AUUGAACGCUGGCGGCAUGCUUUACACAUGCAAGUCGAACGGUAACAGGCCGCAAGGUGCUGACGAGUGGCGAACGGGUGAGUAAUGUAUCGGAACGUGCCCAGUCGUGGGGGAUAACUACUCGAAAGAGUGGCUAAUACCGCAUACGACCUGAGGGUGAAAGCGGGGGACCGUAAGGCCUCGCGCGAUUGGAGCGGCCGAUAUCAGAUUAGCUAGUUGGUGGGGUAAAAGCCCACCAAGGCGACGAUCUGUAGCUGGUCUGAGAGGACGACCAGCCACACUGGGACUGAGACACGGCCCAGACUCCUACGGGAGGCAGCAGUGGGGAAUUUUGGACAAUGGACGCAAGUCUGAUCCAGCCAUGCCGCGUGCGGGAAGAAGGCCUUCGGGUUGUAAACCGCUUUUGUCAGGGAAGAAACGAGUUUCUCUAAUACAGAGACUUAAUGACGGUACCUGAAGAAUAAACACCGGCUAACUACGUGCCAGCCGCCGCGGUAAGAC